rnacentral:lncRNA from 1 species
CUUACUAUGAAUACUACCUCAAGGAGGAUACAGCACAGCCUCCCAUUUGGUCAGACCUGAACGGCGCAGUCGUUAACGCUGGCAGCAUAAGAACGGCGCUCCCGAGCUUCUAUAACGUCACUUGGGGUGACGUGGUAAAUACGCUACCAUACGGGAAUUCGCUGCUAACGAUUAGACUGACCGGAACUGAUAUAUGGAACAUGUUUGAGAACUCCGUCGCAAAGUACAACACAGUGAGGGAUAAGCAAAAAGGCCGCUUUCUCCAAGUGUCAGGCUUCCGAGUUGAGUAUGACUUGAGGAAAAACAGCGGUGAACGUGUCACUUCUGUCAGCAUUAUUUGCGCUAACUGCAGUGUACCAAAGUACCAGCCAAUCGAUUGUGAAGCGACCUACAAGAUUGUUGCUGCAGACUACGUUGCGAAAGGUGGCGAUGGCUUCAAAUUUAGCGAUUCUGCAA